rnacentral:rRNA from 1 species
CUCAGGAUGAACGCUAGCGGCAGGCUAACACAUGCAAGUCGAGGGGCAGCGGGAUGUAGCAAUACAUUGCCGGCGACCGGCGGAUGGGUGCGUAACGCGUAUGCAACCUACCUUAUACAGGGGAAUAACCUUUCGAAAGGGAGACUAACACCCCAUAGUAUUGAUUUAAGGCAUCUUAGAUUAAUUAAAUAUUUAUAGGUAUAAGAUGGGCAUGCGUAUGAUUAGCUAGUUGGUAAGGUAACGGCUUACCAAGGCGACGAUCAUUAGGGGUUCUGAGAGGAAGGUCCCCCACACUGGUACUGAGACACGGACCAGACUCCUACGGGAGGCAGCAGUGAGGAAUAUUGGUCAAUGGGCGCAAGCCUGAACCAGCCAUGCCGCGUGCAAGGAAGACGGCCUUAUGGGUUGUAAACUGCUUUUACAUAAGACUAACCGUAUAUUUGCGAAUAUACCUGAAUGUAUUAUGAGAAUAAGGAUCGGCUAACUCCGUGCCAGCCGCCGC